rnacentral:misc_RNA from 1 species
GUGAAUCAUCGAAUCUUUGAACGCAAAUUGCACUCUCUGGUAUUCCGGUGAGUAUGCCUGUUUGAGGGUCUGUUUAAAUAAAAAUCGGUGUGUUUGCUGCCUUUCGUGGUGACGCACCGGAUUUGGGUCGUCUUGUCUUCGGUUAAGUGACUUAAAUUUUCGCAUGAUUUUUUCGACCGUACUUAAAUGAUUUUCUGUACGUUUGUGAUAUCGCAUACUAUGCGUGGCG